rnacentral:lncRNA from 10 species
UCCAGGCUGGAGUGCAGUGAUGCGAUCUUGACUCACUGCAACCUCCGCCUCCCAGGAGUUCAAGCGAUCCUCCUGCCUCAGUCUUCCGAGUAGCUGGGACUACAGGCAUGUGCCACCACACCCAGCUACUAUUUUUGUAUUUUUUUGUAGAGAUGGUUUCGCCAUGUUGGCCAGGCUGGUCUUGAACCCUUGACCUCAGGUGAUCCACCAGCCUCGGCCUCACAAAGUGCUGGGAUUACAGGUAUGAGCCACCACGCCCAGCCUGCAAACAUAUGUUGAACUCUUUGCACAGUGCCCUGCAUGAGAUAGAUGACAGCUCCUUCUUCCAUGUUGUUAAUUUGGUGUGAGUAUAUGUUAUAUGUAUGUAUAUGCAAGAUAAUAAUCUUCUUGUAACCACUGACAGGCCUUUUUGUGAAUGAUGAUGGAAAAAGCAAGAACCUUGUCCAGGUUCCUCUCCAGGGAGCAGGGGUGGGUUGUGAUUCUUGAUUUCAUUCCUUUAGAUAUGAAGAGUUUUCACACAGAGGCAGCACGAAUUUGUCUCUCUCCUAGAGGGUGGGGAGAGUUGCUGGGUGGAUAUAACUGCAUCACAGCCUUUCUGGGUAAACUGGCCACUCCCUACUGAUUUGUUAUCAUGCUAAAUGUGUCUCCUCCCUUCCUUUCUGGAGCUUUUGCAGCUGUUCCUGGAAGGAGACCCAGUUGAAAGGGGUUGUUAUGGACCAGGAACAGCUGGGAUCUUUAAUGAUCUGUGAGCAGCUUACAGCAAAGUUCCAACACCCUGAGGUAAUGAUGGGGGUGGGGGAUGUCUCAGAGGAAGAACUGAUUAUGCAAUAAGCUGAAAGUCCCUUUGAAAUCUGGUGACACAGUUAUUGAGAGGCCAGCAGGAUGGAGAAGGACGUGGGGAAGGCUGAUGAGAGGAGAAGUUCCUCUCUAGGGAUCAUUUGGGGCAAACAAAUGAGAUCCAAGGGGAGUUCCAAUAUAGGAAAUAGGAGAGAAAUCCUAGGGCCCAGGAAAUUACAGACUCAUAAUUAGCUGGUCAAAGCAAUCAAUAGUCAUGUAGAUUGUCAUUUGCUUGCAAAUUGCACACCUGGGGUCCCUUAGAAAAACUUGGCUUCAAGACUUAAGUUGCUGCUUCUGAAAGUAAUGAACAAUACUCUCUGUUCUGUUACUCAUUACAGUAUCAGUCCCCAAAUCCUUGGUCUUUGCAUUCCAACACAAAGUAAAAAGGAUUGAGCA